GAUGAACGCUGGCGGCGUGCCUAAUACAUGCAAGUCGAGCGAACAGACGAGGAGCUUGCUCCUCUGACGUUAGCGGCGGACGGGUGAGUAACACGUGGAUAACCUACCUAUAAGACUGGGAUAACUUCGGGAAACCGGAGCUAAUACCGGAUAACAUGUUGAACCGCAUGGUUCAACAGUGAAAGACGGUCUUGCUGUCACUUAUAGAUGGAUCCGCGCCGCAUUAGCUAGUUGGUAAGGUAACGGCUUACCAAGGCAACGAUACGUAGCCGACCUGAGAGGGUGAUCGGCCACACUGGAACUGAGACACGGUCCAGACUCCUACGGGAGGCAGCAGUAGGGAAUCUUCCGCAAUGGGCGAAAUCCUGACGGAGCAACGCCGCGUGAGUGAAGAAGGUCUUCGGAUCGUAAAACUCUGUUAUUAGGGAAGAACAAAUGUGUAAGUAACUAUGCACGUCUUGACGGUACCUAAUCAGAAAGCCACGGCUAACUAC
rnacentral:rRNA from 1 species